UACGUAGGGUGCAAGCGUUGUCCGGAAUUAUUGGGCGUAAAGCGUGCGCAGGCGGUUUUGUAAGCCAGAUGUGAAAUCCCCGGGCUUAACCUGGGAAUGGCAUUUGGGACUGCAAGGCUCGAGUGCGGCAGAGGAGACUGGAAUUCCUGGUGUAGCAGUGAAAUGCGUAGAUAUCAGGAGGAACACCGAUGGCGAAGGCAGGUCUCUGGGCUGACACUGACGCUCAUGCACGAAAGCGUGGGGAGCAAACAGG
rnacentral:rRNA from 1 species